rnacentral:rRNA from 1 species
UACGUAGGCAGCAAGCGUUGUUCGGAGUUACUGGGCGUAAAGAGUGCGUAGGCGGUUUCGCAAGGUUGGUGUGAAAUCUCCCGGCUUAACUGGGAGGGUGCGCCGAAAACUGCGGGGCUGGAGUGUGGGAGAGGUAGGCGGAAUUCCUGGUGUAGCGGUGAAAUGCGUAGAUAUCAGGAGGAACACCGGUGGUGUAGACGGCUUACUGGACCAUGACUGACGCUGAGGCACGAAAGCGUGGGGAGCAAACAGG